rnacentral:rRNA from 1 species
UACGGAGGAUCCAAGCGUUAUCCGGAUUUAUUGGGUUUAAAGGGAGCGUAGGCGGCUUGUUAAGUCAGGGGUGAAAGACGGUGGCUCAACCAUCGCAGUGCCUUUGAUACUGACAAGCUUGAAUAUAGUUGAGGUAGGCGGAAUGUGACAAGUAGCGGUGAAAUGCAUAGAUAUGUCACAGAACACCGAUUGCGAAGGCAGCUUACUAAGCUAUUAUUGACGCUGAGGCUCGAAAUCGUGGGGAUCAAACAGG